AAAGCCUUGAGAAGCAAGAAGAAGGUUGGUUAGUGUUUUUGAGUCGAAUAUUACUUGAUGUCAUAUGUAUGAUUGAGAAAAACAACUUAAACCGCAACCCGAUCUUAAGAGCCUAAGUAGUGUUUCCUUGUUAGAAGACACAAAGCCAAAGACUCAUAUGGACUUUGGCUACACCAUGAAAGCUUUGAGAAGCAAGAAGACGGUUGGUUAGUGUUUUGGAGUGAAUAUGACUUGAUGUCAUGUGUAUGAUUGAGUAUAAGAAUUUUAACCGCAACCCGAUCUUAAAAGCCUAAGUAGUGUUUCCUUGUUAGAAGACAUAAAGCCAAAGACUCAUAUGGACUUUGGUUACACCAUGAAAU
rnacentral:sRNA from 1 species